rnacentral:SRP_RNA from 1 species
GCUGGGCAUGGUGGUGCGUGCCUGUAAUCCCAGCAUCUUGGGAGGCUGAGGCACAAGAAUUGCUUGAACCCAGGAGGGGGAGGUUGCAGUGAGCCAAGAUCAUGUCACUGCACUCCAGCCUGGGUGACAGAGUGAGACUGUGUCUCAA